CAGCAGCCACGGGAAUACGUAGGGUGCAAGCGUUAAUCGGAAUUACUGGGCGUAAAGCGUGCGCAGGCGGUUCGUUAAGACAGAUGUGAAAUCCCCGGGCUUAACCUGGGAACUGCAUUUGUGACUGCAAGGCUAGAGUACGGCAGAGGGGGAUGGAAUUCCGCGUGUAGCAGUGAAAUGCGUAGAUAUGCGGAGGAACACCGAUGGCGAAGGCAAUCCCCUGGGCCUGUACUGACGCUCAUGCACGAAAGCGUGGGGAUCAAACAGGAUUAGAUACCCCGGUAGUCCCUGUCUCUUAUAC
rnacentral:rRNA from 1 species